rnacentral:tRNA from 1 species
GCCUGGGUGGCUCAGUCUGUUAAGCGUACGACUUGAGCUCAGGUCAUGAUCUCGUGGUUUGUGGGUUCGAGCCCCGCAUCAGGCU